rnacentral:lncRNA from 1 species
AUGUGCCUGAGAAAGCAGCGGAAGAUGGUCCAAGUAUUGGUUUUCUGCUACCCAUGUGAGAUACCCGGAUGGAGCUCCUGGCUCCUGGCUUCAGCUUGGCCCAGCCCUGGCUGUUGUGGCCAUUUGGCGAAUGAACCAGCAGAGGAAAGAUCUCUGCUUCCCUCUCUCUGUGUAACUCUGCCUUUCAAACAAAUAAAUAAAUCCUUAAAAAAUAAAGUUAAAGAUUUUUAUUUUAUUUAUUUUAGCGCUAGGCAAGGGUGGGGUCGGGAGAGGAAGAAACAGCAGGGAUCUGAGUACUUCGGCCAUCACCUGCAGCCUCCCAGAGUGCACGUUAGCGGGAAAGUGGAUCAGAAAUGGAGGGGCUGGGACUUGAACCCGGGCACUCUGAUAUGGGAUGCAGACUCCCCAAGCAGCAUCUUAACCACCUGCCAAACAUCUGCCCCCAAACACACUGGAAGUUUUAGAAGAACAGAACAAUACUUCACUCACUUGACGCCUGGUUCCUGCACCUGGGUCUCCAUCCCCAGUACUGAGCACCACGUUGAAACAAGCAUGGCUGUGACUUCCUCUCCUGUUGGCUGGUGUGGACUUGAAGCCCCGGGAGGAGGUGGCCCUCAGGUCACAGGGGGACCAGGGUCUCCAGCUCAGCGUUCUGAGCUGUCCAGUACUGCUUCUUGGGGGGGUCCCCACACCCCCGCACCCUGCUCCCAGCUGAGUUCAUUGGGUCUAGGGUGGGGGAGCGUGGCUCCCCGGAAGGCAGUGUUCCCUCCAUGGGGGACGUGGGUGCUGGCCUGCACAACCCUGUUUGUCCCUUCCUCCUCUGCUAUUUUUAGCUCAGUGGGUUUCCUGUGGGGACCAGUGCAGCCUCCAGGGCCUUGGGGUUGGAGGCUAUGGGGAGGCCAUGAGCAGCAGCCACGGGAGCCCAUGGACACUUCUCUCCUGGGGCACCAGGGAAGCUGGGGGCAAACCGUGGAGAAGCCCCCAGGCACACGGGCAGGCUGGCAUUGA